UAUAAUUAAAACUAAGAUUAAUAAUUUAAUUAAAUUAUUUAAGUACAUUCAAGGGUUGUUUGACAAUCCAACCCUCAUUAUCAAUGAAUGAUAGACUAAUUAAGUGUUGUAACUCAUGUUUGCUCAAAAUUGCUUUCCAUAACACUCUUUUUGAAGUGUUUGAUCCCAUUCCUUUGCAUCUUUCCUCAGCAAAUGUUAAUUGUUUCUCUUUGCCACCAAAGACUCCAACAUCCCAACCUUGAGGAGUGAUGACAUUAGACAUAGAUGAAUCAUAGAAUAAAACUCUUGCAUAUUGUCUCCAUGGUCUACCCAAGAAAAUUUGUCCAUUUCCAAUAACAUUACAAUUCUUGAACACAAAUCCACUUGUAUCAUUUACAUUUUCUCUUCCAUGUGCUGUUAUAUACCCUAUUAAUCCAUUUAAAGCUCCUGCAUUUACUGAUAUUGUACAAUUCUCAUAAAUGGAUUUACCAUUACCAAAGAUGAAAUCAACAGCUCCUUCAAUGGUACAAAAUUUGAAAUAAUGUCUUCCUUGAACAUCCCAUAAUGUAUCUUGAAAUCCAAGAAAUUUACACUUAUAAAAUACACAUUUGUCACCAGAAAUCACAACUGCCACUGCCACCACCCUAGGAUGUUUGUUUCUUUUUGGAGGAUAAUUAUAAGAAUUUAUAAAUGUGAUACUUUCCACAAUUGUAUUAUUAGCUUCAGUAGUAAAAGUAGCAUCAGUAUCAAUUGAGCCAUGAGCAUCCCAAGUUACAAUAACUUCUCCAUUUUUAUCUCCUUUUAGAUAAAUAUAUGGCUUUUCUCUAGGGAUUUUCACUUGUUCCCUAUAUUGUCCAGGUUUGAUGAUAAUACAGAUCCAAUAUUGAUUAUUUUGAGGGAUAGAAUCAAUGGCUGAUUGAAUAGUUACAAAUUUGCCAUGUCCAGAUGGAUCAACAUACACCGUUGGAUAUUUUUUUUGCCCUUUAAAAUGAAAUUUUGCAUUUCCAAGUUCAAUAAUACCUAGGAAGA
rnacentral:misc_RNA from 1 species